CAUGCAGUCCGAACGAUGGAAAGCCCAGCUUGCUUGGGUGGAUUAGUGGCGAAACGGGUGAGUAACACGUGAGUAACCUGCCCUUGACUCUGGGAUAAGCCUGGGAAACUGGGUCUAAUACCGGAUAGGAACGUCCACCGCAUGGUGGUUGUUGGAAAGAUUUAUCGGUCAUGGAUGGACUCGCGGCCUAUCAGCUUGUUGGUGAGGUAAUGGCUCACCAAGGCGACGACGGGUAGCCGGCCUGAGAGGGUGACCGGCCACACUGGGACUGAGACACGGCCCAGACUCCUACGGGAGGCAGCAGUGGGGAAUAUUGCACAAUGGGCGAAAGCCUGAUGCAGCGACGCCGCGUGAGGGAUGACGGCCUUCGGGUUGUAAACCUCUUUCAGUAGGGAAGAAGCGAAAGUGACGGUACCUGCAGAAGAAGCACCGGCUAACUACGUGCCAGCAGCCGCGGUAAUACGUAGGGUGCGAGCGUUAUCCGGAAUUAUUGGGCGUAAAGAGCUCGUAGGCGGUUUGUCGCGUCUGUCGUGAAAGUCCGGGGCUUAACCCCGGAUCUGCGGUGGGUACGGGCAGACUAGAGUGCAGUAGGGGAGACUGGAAUUCCUGGUGUAGCGGUGGAAUGCGCAGAUAUCAGGAGGAACACCGAUGGCGAAGGCAGGUCUCUGGGCUGUAACUGACGCUGAGGAGCGAAAGCAUGGGGAGCGAACAGGAUUAGAUACCCUGGUAGUCCAUGCCGUAAACGUUGGGCACUAGGUGUGGGGACCAUUCCACGGUUUCCGCGCCGCAGCUAACGCAUUAAGUGCCCCGCCUGGGGAGUACGGCCGCAAGGCUAAAACUCAAAGGAAUUGACGGGGGCCCGCACAAGCGGCGGAGCAUGCGGAUUAAUUCGAUGCAACGCGAAGAACCUUACCAAGGCUUGACAUGUUCUCGAUCGCCGUAGAGAUACGGUUUCCCCUUUGGGGCGGGAUCACAGGUGGUGCAUGGUUGUCGUCAGCUCGUGUCGUGAGAUGUUGGGUUAAGUCCCGCAACGAGCGCAACCCUCGUUCCAUGUUGCCAGCACGUGAUGGUGGGGACUCAUGGGAGACUGCCGGGGUCAACUCGGAGGAAGGUGGGGACGACGUCAAAUCAUCAUGCCCCUUAUGUCUUGGGCUUCACGCAUGCUACAAUGGCCGGUACAAUGGGUUGCGAUACUGUGAGGUGGAGCUAAUCCCAAAAAGCCGGUCUCAGUUCGGAUUGGGGUCUGCAACUCGACCCCAUGAAGUCGGAGUCGCUAGUAAUCGCAGAUCAGCAACGCUGCGGUGAAUACGUUCCCGGGCCUUGUACACACCGCCCGUCAAGUCACGAAAGUCGGUAACACCCGAAGCCGGUGGCCUAACCCUUGUGGGGGAGCCGUCGAAGUGAUACAU
rnacentral:rRNA from 1 species